UGAGGGUUGAUAGGUUAAGAGCUAGGUAAUUGGACGUUACCCACAGAAGAAGCACCGGCUAACUCCGUGCCAGCAGCCGCGGUAAUACGGAGGGUGCGAGCGUUAAUCGGAAUUACUGGGCGUAAAGGGUGCGUAGGUGGUAUGGUAAGUUAUCUGUGAAAUCCCUGGGCUCAACCUGGGCAGGUCAGAUAAUACUGCUGUACUCGAGUAUGGGAGAGGGUAGUGGAAUUUCCGGUGUAGCGGUGAAAUGCGUAGAGAUCGGAAGGAACACCAGUGGCGAAGGCGGCUACCUGGCCCAAUACCGACACUGAGGCACGAAAGCGUGGGGAGCAAACAGGAUUAGAUACCCUGGUAGUCCACGCCGUAAACGAUGUCAACUAGCUGUUGGAUAUAUGAAUAUAUUUAGUGGCGAAGCAAACGCGAUAAGUUGACC
rnacentral:rRNA from 1 species